rnacentral:rRNA from 1 species
AACGAACGCUGGCGGCAUGCCUAACACAUGCAAGUCGAACGAGACCUUCGGGUCUAGUGGCGCACGGGUGCGUAACGCGUGGGAACCUGCCCUUAGGUUCGGAAUAACUCCCCGAAAGGGGUGCUAAUACCGGAUAAUGUCUUCGGACCAAAGAUUUAUCGCCUUUGGAUGGGCCCGCGUUGGAUUAGCUAGUUGGUAGGGUAAAAGCCUACCAAGGCGACGAUCCAUAGCUGGUCUGAGAGGAUGAUCAGCCACACUGGGACUGAGACACGGCCCAGACCCCUACGGGAGGCAGCAGUGGGGAAUAUUGGACAAUGGGCGAAAGCCUAACCCAGCAAUGCCGGGUGGGUGAUGAAGGCCUUGGGGUUGUAAAGCUUUUUUACCCGGGAUGAUAAUGACAGUACCGGGAAAAAAAGCUCCGGCAAACUCCGU